rnacentral:rRNA from 1 species
CAUGCGGUGGACACUUGCUUGUUGCUUUAGGGGGGUGUUUUUUUGGGGCAACCCGAGGACACCACCCGGCGGCAGGGGAAAGGCCACUGCGGGCGGGGCCCAUUUAUAUUUCUCGAAGACGUCACGGGCCCUUAACUGGUGUACUGUGGUCGCGGAUUCGAGACGUUUACUCUGAAAAAAUUAGAGUGUUCAAAGCAGGCAAUCAAAAACGCUUGAAUACAUUAGCAUGGAAUAAUGGAAUAGGACUUUGGUCUUAUUUUGUUGGUUUCUAGGAGUGAAGUAAUGAUUAAUAGGGACAGUUGGGGGCAUUCGUAUUUAAUUGUCAGAGGUGAAAUUCUUGGAUUUAUGAAAGACGAACUUCUGCGAAAGCAUUUGCCAAGGAUGUUUUCAUUAAUCAAGAACGAAAGUUAGGGGAUCGAAGACGAUUAGAUACCGUCGUAGUCCUAACCAUAAACUAUGCCGACUAGGGAUCAGUGGGGAACAAAUCAAAAAACUCCAUUGGCACCUUAUGAGAAAUCAAAGUUUUUGGGUUCUGGGGAAAGUACCAACGCAAGUUGGAAACUUAAAGGAAUUGACGGAAGGGCACACCAGGCGUGGAAUCUGCGGCUUAAUUUGACCCAACACGGGGAAACUCACCAGGUCCAGACAAAAUAAGGAUUGACAGAUUGAGAGCUCUUUCUUGAUUUUUUGGGCAGUGGUGCAUGGCCGUUCUUAGUUGGUGGAGCGAUCUGUCUGGUUAAUUCCGAUAACGAACGAGACCUUAACCUGCUAAAUAGCGACGUCAUUCCUUGUGAAGGACGGAUUUUGACUUCUUAGAGGGACUAUCGGUGACUAACCGAUGGAAGUUUGAGGCAAUAACAGGUCUGUGAUGCCCUUAGAUGUUCUGGGCCGCACGCGCGUUACACUGACAGAGGCAGCGAGUUUUUUUAAAUAUCCUGGCCUGGAAAGGUUUGGGUAAUCUUGUGAAUCUCUGUCGUGAUGGGGAUAGAUCUUUGUAAUUAUCGAUCUUCAACGAGGAAUGCCUUGUAAUCGCGGUUCAUCAAAUCGCGUUGACUACGUCCCUGCCCUUUGUACACACCGCCCGUCGCUACUACCGAUUGAAUGGUUUAGUGAGGUCUCGGGACUGGCGCGGCUUGGCUGUAAAAGGCCGAUCCAUGCUGGGAACUUGCCCAAACUUGAUCAUUUAGAGGAAGUAAAAGUC